rnacentral:rRNA from 1 species
UACGUAGGGUGCAAGCGUUGUCCGGAAUUACUGGGCGUAAAGCGUGCGCAGGCGGUUCGCUGUGUCCUGUGUGAAAGCCCCGGGCUUAACCUGGGAAUGGCAUGGGAAACUGGCGGGCUGGAGUGUGGCAGAGGGGGGUGGAAUUCCGGCGUGUAGCAGUGAAAUGCGUAGAGAUGCGGAGGAACACCGAUGGCGAAGGCAGCCCCCUGGGCUAACACUGACGCUCAGGCACGAAAGCGUGGGGAGCAAACAGG